UCGUAACAAGGUCUCCGUUGGUGAACCAGCGGAGGGAUCAUUACAGAGUUAUCCAACUCCCAAACCCAUGUGAACAUAUCUCUUUGUUGCCUCGGCGCAAGCUACCCGGGACCUCGCGCCCCGGGCGGCCCGCCGGCGGACAAACCAAACUCUGUUAUCUUCGUUGAUUAUCUGAGUGUCUUAUUUAAUAAGUCAAAACUUUCAACAACGGAUCUCUUGGUUCUGGCAUCGAUGAAGAACGCAGCGAAAUGCGAUAAGUAAUGUGAAUUGCAGAAUUCAGUGAAUCAUCGAAUCUUUGAACGCACAUUGCGCCCAUUAGUAUUCUAGUGGGCAUGCCUGUUCGAGCGUCAUUUCAACCCCUAAGCACAGCUUAUUGUUGGGCGUCUACGUCUGUAGUGCCUCAAAGACAUUGGCGGAGCGGCAGCAGUCCUCUGAGCGUAGUAAUUCUUUAUCUCGCUUCUGUUAGGCGCUGCCCCCCCGGCCGUAAAACCCCCAAUUUUUUCUGGUUGACCUCGGAUCAGGUAGGAAUACCCGCUGAACUUAAGCAUAUCAAUAA
rnacentral:misc_RNA from 1 species